GAGUGGCGCACGGGUGCGUAACGCGUGGUAACCUGCCCUUAGGUUCGGAAUAACUCAGAGAAAUUUGAGCUAAUACCGGAUAAUGUCUUCGGACCAAAGAUUUAUCGCCUUUGGAUGGGCCCGCGUAGGAUUAGAUAGUUGGUGGGGUAAUGGCCUACCAAGUCGACGAUCCUUAGCUGGUCUGAGAGGAUGAUCAGCCACACUGGGACUGAAACACGGCCCAGACUCCUACGGGAGGCAGCAGUGGGGAAUAUUGGACAAUGGGCGAAAGCCUGAUCCAGCAAUGCCGCGUGAGUGAUGAAGGCCUUAGGGUUGUAAAGCUCUUUUACCAGGGAUGAUAAUGACAGUACCUGGAGAAUAAGCUCCGGCUAACUCCGUGCCAGCAGCCGCGGUAAUACGGAGGGAGCUAGCGUUGUUCGGAAUUACUGGGCGUAAAGCGCACGUAGGCGGCUUUUCAAGUCAGGGGUGAAAUCCCGGGGCUCAACCCCGGAGCUGCCCUUGAAACUGGAUGGCUAGAAUACUGGAGAGGUGAGUGGAAUUCCGAGUGUAGAGGUGAGAUUCGUAGAUAUUCUGAAGAACACCAGUGGCGAAAGCGACUCACUGGACAGUUAUUGACGCU
rnacentral:rRNA from 1 species